GUGGAGAGGUUGGAGCUGUUCCCUGUGGAGCUGGAGAAGGACUCCGAGGGCCUGGGCAUCAGCAUCAUCGGCAUGGGCGCCGGGGCAGACAUGGGCCUGGAGAAGCUGGGUAUCUUCGUCAAGACCGUGACGGAGGGUGGUGCGGCCCAUCGGGAUGGCAGGAUCCAGGUGAAUGAUCUCCUGGUGGAGGUGGAUGGAACAAGUCUGGUGGGAGUGACCCAGAGCUUCGCGGCGUCUGUGCUCCGGAACACCAAGGGCCGAGUGCGCCUUCGGACUCAGCCCUCUCAUCUCUCCUCCCCUGGGAGGGCCUGAGUUUGGAGAGGGGAGCAUCAGCAGGGAGGAUGAUGCAUUACCUGGCUGAGGACAGAGGCAGCGGAUGAUGCCGGUGCCCCUGCAGGUUUAUGAUUGGCCGGGAGCGGCCGGGAGAGCAGAGCGAAGUGGCCCAGCUAAUUCAGCAGACUUUGGAACAGGAGCGAUGGCAGCGGGAGAUGAUGGAGCAGAGAUACGCCCAGUAUGGGGAGGAUGACGAGGAGACGGGAGAGUAUGCCACUGACGAGGAUGAGGAGCUGAGCCCCACGUUCCCGGGUGGUGAGAUGGCCAUCGAGGUGUUUGAGCUAGCGGAGAACGAGGAUGCACUGUCCCCUGUGGACAUGGA
rnacentral:lncRNA from 1 species